CACGUAGGGGGCGAGCGUUGUCCGGAGUUAUUGGGCGUAAAGAGCUCGUAGGUGGUUCGGUAAGUCGGAUGUGAAAUCUCCAGGCUCAACCUGGAGGGGUCAUUCGAUACUGCCGUGACUAGAGGUCGGUAGGGGAGUGUGGAAUUCCUGGUGGAGCGGUGAAAUGCGCAGAUAUCAGGAGGAACACCCGUAGCGAAGGCGGCACUCUGGGCCGAUACUGACACUGAGGAGCGAAAGCGUGGGGAGCGAACAGG
rnacentral:rRNA from 1 species